CCUACGGGCGGCAGCAGUGGGGAAUAUUGGACAAUGGGCGAAAGCCUGAUCCAGCCAUGCCGCGUGUGUGAAGAAGGCCUUCGGGUUGUAAAGCACUUUCAGUGGGGAAGAAAGCCUUGGGGCUAAUACCCUCGAGGAAGGACAUCACCCACAGAAGAAGCACCGGCUAACUCCGUGCCAGCAGCCGCGGUAAUACGGAGGGUGCGAGCGUUAAUCGGAAUUACUGGGCGUAAAGCGCGCGUAGGCGGUCUGAUAAGCCGGUUGUGAAAGCCCCGGGCUCAACCUGGGAACGGCAUCCGGAACUGUCAGGCUAGAGUGCAGGAGAGGAAGGUAGAAUUCCCGGUGUAGCGGUGAACUGCGUAGAGAUCGGGAGGAAUACCAGUGGCGAAGGCGGUCUUCUGGACUGACACUGACGCUGAGGUGCGAAAGCGUGGGUAGCAAACAGGAUUAGAUACCCGAGUAGUC
rnacentral:rRNA from 1 species